UUGCUCUGACAGUAUAUUUAUAUAAAACUGAAAUGAUACAGAGAUAAUUAGCAUGGCCCCUGCACAA
rnacentral:snRNA from 1 species